rnacentral:lncRNA from 1 species
UUCAUCGUCAAGUUUAUGCUAUAUGUGUAUGAACUGCAACCCUCUACAUGAGGAUGGGACUUUCUUCAGUUCUGUCGUAGAAGCAUGAAGAGGGGAGCUACAGAUGUUUUCAAUCUCUACUUAAUUAAGCAUUGCCAGCUGCUUGAGGGUGGCAUUUGGCAAGUGCAGAGCUCCUGUACCACGCCCAAUACUGUAUUUAUGCAGGUGAAUUGAGAUGUUAACAGAAACCCUAAAUUCAACCGGCCUUUUUUCCAGUGCUAUGAACAGUCUCUUGCUUCUGUCCCCUUUUGUCAUCUGUCUCUAGUGUCAUAUUUCCAGCAGAGACUUUGCUGCUCUCUACAACUUACAGAGAUGCUUUAACAAAAUCUACAUGAUUUCAGCAAGUUAUUACUUCAACAAGCAUCAUUUUGUAUCAUAGGAUUUUUCAAGACCUUUGUUUAAAUAAAGUUAUCUGUUUUACUUAUGUGGAAAUGAGGGAUUAGGAAGACCUGUGCUAAAUUACACAGCGAGGCAGUCAAAAGUACUAUGAGAAUAACUUUUAACAUAGGCUUUCAAAAGAAAUCAUUUGUUUUUCUGAAAUUAAAAGCUUC